UACGUAGGUGGCAAGCGUUGUCCGGAAUUAUUGGGCGUAAAGCGCGUGUAGGCGGCUAGAUAAGUCUUGUGUAAAAGUCAAAGGCUCAACCUUUGAAUGUCAUCGGAUACUGUCUGGCUAGAGUCCGGAAGAGGCGAGUGGAAUUCCUGGUGUAGCGGUGAAAUGCGCAGAUAUCAGGAGGAACACCGAUGGCGAAGGCAACUCGCUGGGACGGUACUGACGCUGAGACGCGAAAGCGUGGGGAGCAAACAGG
rnacentral:misc_RNA from 1 species